GAUGAACGCUGGCGGCGUGCCUAAUACAUGCAAGUCGAGCGAACGGAAGAGAAACUUGUUUCUCUGGUGUUAGCGGCGGACGGGAGAGUAAAACGUGGAUCACCGACCUAUAAGAAUGGGAUAACUUCGGGAAACCGGAGCUAGUACCGGGUAAUAUUUUGAACCGCAUGGUUCCAAGGUGAAGGUCGGUCUUGCUUUCACAGAUAGAUGGAUCCGCGCUGCAUUAGCUAGUUGGUAAGGUAACGGCUUACCAAGGCAACGAUGCAUAGCCGACCUGAGAGAGUGAUCGGCCACACUGCAACUGAGACACGGUCCAGACUCCUACGGGAGGCCGCAGUAGGGAAUCUUCGGCAACGGGCGAAAGCAUGACGGAGCAACGCCGCGUGAGUGAUGAAGGUCUUCGGAUCUUGAAGCACUGGGAUUAGGGAAGAACAUAUGUGUAAGCAACUGUGCACACCAUGACGGUACCUAAUCAGAAAGCCACGGCUAACUACGUG
rnacentral:rRNA from 1 species